UACGUAGGGUGCGAGCGUUAAUCGGAAUUACUGGGCGUAAAGCGUGCGCAGGCGGUUAUAUAAGACAGUUGUGAAAUCCCCGGGCUCAACCUGGGAAUUGCAUCUGUGACUGUAUAGCUAGAGUAUGGUAGAGGGGGAUGGAAUUCCGCGUGUAGCAGUGAAAUGCGUAGAUAUGCGGAGGAACACCGAUGGCGAAGGCAAUCCCCUGGACCUGUACUGACGCUCAUGCACGAAAGCGUGGGGAGCAAACAGG
rnacentral:rRNA from 1 species